rnacentral:rRNA from 1 species
GAUGAACGCUGGCGGCGUGCCUGAUACAUGCGAGUCGAGCGAACGGACGAGAAGCUUGCUUCUCUGAUGUUAGCGGCGGACGGGUGAGUAACACGUGGAUAACCUACCUAUAAGACUGGGAUAACUUCGGGAAACCGGAGCUAAUACCGGAUGAUAUUUUGAACCGCAUGGUUCAAAAGUGAAAGACGGUCUUGCUGUCACUUAUAGAUGGAUCCGCGCUGCAUUAGCUAGUUGGUAAGGUAACGGCUUACCAAGGCAACGAUGCGUAGCCGACCUGAGAGGGUGAUCGCCCACACUGGAGCUGAGACACGGUCCAGACUCCUACGGGAGGCAGCAGUAGGGAAUCUUCCGCAAUGGGCGAAAGCCUGACGGAGCAACGCCGCGUGAGUGAUGAAGGUCUUCGGAUCGUAAAACUCUGUUAUUAGGGAAGAACAUAUGUGUAAGUAACUGUGCACAUCUUGACGGUACCUAAUCAGAAAGCCACGGCUAACUACGUG